UUAGAUAAAGUGGACUCAUUCCAAGUACAGGGCUUCGAAAGAGUCCUGUAUUGUUAUUUUUCGUCACUACCUCCCCGGGUCG